ACUCCAUGUGUAGCGGUGAAAUGCGUAGAUAUAUGGAAGAACACCAGUGGCGAAGGCGGCUGUCUGGUCUGUAACUGACGCUGAGGCUCGAAAGUAUGGGUAGCAAACAGGAUUAGAUACCCUGGUAGUCCAUACCGUAAACGAUGAAUGCUAAGUGUUGGAGGGUUUCCCCCUUCAGUGCUGCAGCUAACGCAUUAAGCAUUCCGCCUGGGGAGUACGGCCGCAAGGCUGAAACUCAAAGGAAUUGACGGGGGCCCGCACAAGCGGUGGAGCAUGUGGUUUAAUUCGAAGCUAUGCGAAGAACCUUACCAGGUCUUGACAUACUAUGCAAAUCUAAGAGAUUAGACGUUCCCUUCGGGGACAUGGAUACAGGUGGUGCAUGGUUGUCGUCAGCUCGUGUCGUGAGAUGUUGGGUUAAGUCCCGCGACGAGCGCAACCCUUAUUAUCAGUUGCCAGCAUUAAGUUGGGCACUCUGGUGAGACUGCCGGUGACAAACCGGAGGAAGGUGGGGAUGACGUCAAAUCAUCAUGCCCCUUAUGACCUGGGCUACACACGUGCUACAAUGGAUGGUACAACGAGUUGCGAACUCGCGAGAGUAAGCUAAUCUCUUAAAGCCAUUCUCAGUUCGGAUUGUAGGCUGCAACUCGCCUACAUGAAGUCGGAAUCGCUAGUAAUCGCGGAUCAGCAUGCCGCGGUGAAUACGUUCCCGGGCCUUGUACACACCGCCCGUCACACCAUGAGAGUUUGUAACACCCAAAGUCGGUGGGGUAACCUUUAGGAACCAGCCGCCUAAGGUGGGACAGAUGAUUAGGGUGAAGUCGUAACAAGGUAACCCAAGGGC
rnacentral:rRNA from 1 species